rnacentral:tRNA from 1 species
GCGGAAAUAGCUCAGCUGGUAGAGCACUUGUUUCCCAAACAAGAGGUCGCGCGUUCGAACCGCGUUUUCCGCU